AGGGCAUAUGGCGGAUACCUUGGCGUAUAGUACGAAGAAGGACGUGGCUAGCUGCGAUAAGCCUCGGCAAGCUGCUACAAGCUUUGAGCCGGGGAUUUCCGAAUGGAGAAAUCCGCAUGGUGUAAUGAUCACGCAGCCUUUAUUUGAAUACAUAGAAUAAAGGCAGAUAACCUGGAGAACUGAAACAUCUAAGUACCCAGAGGAAAAAAAAUCAAACGAGAUUCCCUUAGUAGCGGCGAGCGAAACGGGAAUAGCCCAAACUCUAGUUGUGUUAGUAGCAGAUAGGCGCUGCAACUAGAGUGUUGUAGGAUUCAAUCUUGUGUAUCUAUCUCGUACACAGAUAAGUUACAAAUUGUUAGUUUAGUAAAAAGUGUUGGGAAGCACUGCCGAAGAAGGUGAUAGCCCUGUAUACGAAAAAUUAACAACUUAUCGAUUGAUGUCCUGAGUACCGUGGAACACGUGAAAUUCUGCGGGAAUCCGGGUGGACCAUCAUCCAAGGCUAAAUAUGACUAUACGACCGAUAGCGAACAAGUACCGUGAGGGAAAGGUGAAAAGAACCCUGGAAAGGGAGUGAAAUAGAACGUGAAAUCAUAUGCCUACAAGCAAUCGGAGGACGCAUCUGUGUCUGACGGUGUGCCUAUUGAAGAAUGUGCCGGCGACUUAAUGUCACUAGCAAGGUUAAGUUUGAAUACGGAGCCGCAGCGAAAGCGAGUCUGAAUAGGGCGAUUUAGUUAGUGGGAUUAGACCCGAAACCUGGUGAGCUAUCCAUGAGCAGGGUGAAGCAAAAGUAACAUUUUGUGGAGGCCCGAACCGUUGUAUGUUGAAAAAUGCUCGGAUGACUUGUGGAUAGGGGUGAAAUGCUAAUCGAACCAGGAAAUAUCUGGCUCUCUCCGAAAUGACUUUAGGGUCAGCCUUGAAAUUUAGGUUCUUGGAGGUAGAGCACUGUUAGGGCUAGGGGGAUGACCAAUCUUACCAAACCCUGGCAAACUCCGAAUGCCAAGAUACCAUGUUCAGGAGUGAGACCUAGGGGGAUAAGCUCCUAGGUCGAAAGGGAAACAGCCCAGACCGUCAGCUAAGGUCCCUAAAUACACACUAAGUGGGAAAGGAGGUGAAGUUGCUUGAACAACCAGGAGGUUGGCUUAGAAGCAGCCAUCCUUUAAAGAAAGCGUAACAGCUCACUGGUCGAGCGAUUUUGCGCCGAAAAUGUAACGGGGCUAAGUGUGUUACCGAAGCUACGGGUUUGUCUUUAUGACAAGCGGUAGGAGAGCGUUCUGUAUUAGGAUGAAGUUGUAUUGGGAAAUAUGAUGGACGAAUCAGAAGUGAGAAUGUCGGCAUGAGUAACGAAAAGAUAAGUGAGAAUCUUAUCCGCCGAAAGCCUAAGGUUUCCUGAGGAAGGUUCGUCCGCUCAGGGUUAGUCGUGCCUAAGGUGAGGCUGAAAAGCGUAAUCGAUGGACAACAGGUUAAUAUUCCUGUACUACCCGUAAAUCGUUAUUAGCAAUGGAGUGACGCAGGAGGCUAGGUCAUCCACUUAUUGGAUUGUGGUACAAGCAUGUAGGUAGAAAAAGUUGGCAAAUCCGCUUUUUUGUUGAUCUGAGAUGUUAUGUCGACUCCUUUUGGAGGAAGUGAUUGACGCCACGCUGACAAGAAAACCUUCUAGCAAGAUUUACAGGUAACCGUACUAAAACCGCCACAGGUAGGCAGGUAGAGAAUACUAAGGCGCGUGAGAGAACUCUCGUUAAGGAACUCUGCAAAAUGGCUUCGUAACUUCGGAAGAAGAAGUGCCCGAAUUUGUGAUGAUACUUGCUAUCGGAGCAUAUGAGGGUCGCAGUGAACCGAUUCAAUCGACUGUUUAUCAAAAACACAGGUCAAUGCUAAACCGCAAGGUGAUGUAUAUUGGCUGACGCCUGCCCAGUGCUGGAAGGUUAAUAGGAGAUGUCAACGUUGCUUGCAAUGUGAAGCAUUGAAUUGAAGCCCCAGUGAACGGCGGCCGUAACUAUAACGGUCCUAAGGUAGCGAAAUUCCUUGUCGGGUAAGUUCCGACCCGCACGAAAGGCGUAACGAAUUGAAUACUGUCUCAACGAGAGACUCAGUGAAAUUGAAGUGUCCGUGAAGAUACGGACUACCUACAGCAAGACAGAAAGACCCCGUGGAGCUUUACUGUAACUUGGCUUUGUAUUUUGGAAUAAUUUGUGCAGGAUAGGUGGGAGGCUUUGAUCUAUAGUCGUUAGACUGUAGUGAGCCAUUGGUGAGAUACCACCCUUGUUAUUUUGGAAUACUAACUUGUCUCCGUAAUCCGGAGAGAGGACAUAGUCUGGUGGGCAGUUUGACUGGGGCGGUCGCCUCCUAAAGAGUAACGGAGGCGCUCAAAGGUUCUCUCAAAACGGUUGGAAACCGUUUGUAGAGCGUAAGGGUAGAAGAGAGCUUAACUGUGAGACUUACAAGUCGAACAGAGACGAAAGUCGGACCUAGUGAUCCGGUGAUCCCGAAUGGAAGGGUCAUCGCUCAACGGAUAAAAGUUACCCCGGGGAUAACAGGCUUAUCUCCCCCAAGAGUCCAUAUCGACGGGGAGGUUUGGCACCUCGA
rnacentral:rRNA from 1 species